GCGGAGGCUAUAGCCACGGUGCAGGGGACGGGAUAAAGUACGGCUCUCGGUCUUGAUUAAUUACUGCUUAUUUCACCUCCUUCUCACUCUUUUUUUUUUUUAACUUACGUCACGUGUCAGUGCAGCGGUACCGGUAUAUAAAGAAGUAAAUAAAUACAUGUGUACUAGUCAUGGGGGAAGGCUGCCGUUUCGGGCCGUGCACCCUUGUCCGCGCAACUGCGGCCUCGCCUGCCCCGGGCAGAGCUCUCCGUCGGCAGAGCAGGUCGUUAAUAACACCAAGAAUUAACAGGCGCCGAAGGGGUCACGUCCGUUUUUCCAGGGGAGGGAUGUCAGCUCUGGCGACGUGGGGGUAAGAGCAGAUAGAGACAGAAACAGAUUCCCGAUAAAGGGACAGAGAGAGAUGUGGCUGUCCAACAGGGGCUCAAAAUAACCAAAUAGGCCUUUAUAUUGCAUCUAUUGUUUUAUUAACAUUUAGACUUGCUAGCUAUAAUCCCUUACUCACUGCUUUCCCUGUUAUGCUGAGCUGAAAAGUUUGGCUUAUCCAGAUUUCGCUAAGCUUUUUAUUAGGACGAGGCCAGCUCAGCGCUGAAUUCAUGUUCUGUAUUUUCUGUGCUAAUUUUUGGACAGCCUUUUUUUUUCUACGACUAAGAUUUUGCUCAUGACCUGUGAGCCCUGCAUGGGCAGUGUUCUAUAUGGCCCUCCAUAAUCUCGUUUUGCAGUUUCUUGUGUUCUGUUUUCCUGCAGUAAUCAAAACUCAGGCUUGCUGUAAAGCUUUAGGUGUGACCAUUGACAAGAAAACAAUCUAAAUGUGAACUUUCCUAGAAGAGAAAGAGGUAGAUAAGGAUCAGAGUUUUUUCACCUCAGCAGUUGAGUGCGGAGACCCAGCAAUAAACACUGAACUGCUGACAAACCCCAUGUGUCUGAGGUUGCUUCCAAAACCUUGAGGUUGCUGAAAGACAUGGAGUGAAAGAAGUCUGCUUUUAUUUUUCCAAUCUGUCUCCCCUUAAAUGUCUUAGCUGUAUAGCUCCCAUUUUAGAAACCCCUUAGAAGGGAGUGUUAUUGGUACAGUUUAAGCUGAAUCUCUUUGAGACUUGCUUACUUUAUCUAGAGAACACUGCUGUCUGCUCUCAGAAGCUGAAUGCCUGUUUUCCAGUGAUAUUGUUUUCCAGAGAAUUUAAGUGAAGUCCUGUUUUUUCCUGCUUUUGUCUAGAGGAUCCAUGGAUCCAUGCAAAAUUACUGGCAGUCUUUAUGUGCUGCUCAGGACAAUCUGAAAGUGUGAAGGAUACAGUCAAUCAAAUACAUGGUUAUAACACAUUUGGAUCUCUAUAGGUACUUAUAAAAGUCUUGUGUGGGAACCUCAUCAGCACAGUGUGGGUUUGUCCACCUUUAAUCAGUGUGCAGGCAGGAGAAAGGGUGCCCAGUCCUGCCUAUGGGUUGGUGCCUCUUGCAGAGUGGUUUGCUCUCUUGCCUGUCAGUAAGCCUGUGCUGAACAAGUCAGCCAGCACAGUGUCAGAUUGUUUUAGAAGUCUGCAGGGCUGUCGAGGGUAAGGAUAAAGUUCUUUAAAAGGCAUCAUUGCAUGAAGAGUAACCGACAGCAUACCCAGGAACCACAGUUACAACCAGCCAUUGAUUUUUUUCCUGCUUGAGUGCCAUAAAACAUUUUCAAGAAAUGGAAGAAGAUAAAGGGCAGAGUGCUAAAGCUACCAGUGUGGUGGGUGACUUGAGGAAAAGUUGGCAGACCUGGGCAGAGGAUCACAUUGAGUAUCAGAGAAAGAACCCAUUCAGCAGCGAGGACAGGCUUGCAUCUAAACCGGUGCAUACUCACAGAGGAGAUCCUACCUAUGGGAGACCCCCUGAAGGGUCUCGGACAGAGCAGAGAGGGAAAGAUGCUCAGUCACACGUGGGUAAGGAACUUGAAGAGCUGUGCUUGAUCAUCAAAAGCAUUGGAGAGGUGGGAGAAGAUGGACAUGUGAGUGUAACAUUCGGGCAGCUGUUUGAGACAUAUGUGACUAUUUCCAAUAAAGUAGUAGGAAUCUUGUUAAGAGCCAGAAAA